GGUGUGACUGCGUACCUUUUGUAUAAUGGGUCAGCGACUUAUAUUCUGUAGCAAGGUUAACCGUAUAGGGGAGCCGGAGGGAAACCGAGUCUUAACCGGGCGUUAAGUUGCAGGGUAUAGACCCGAAACCCGGUGAUCUAGCCAUGGGCAGGUUGAAGGUUGGGUAACACUAACUGGAGGACCGAACCGACUAAUGUUGAAAAAUUAGCGGAUGACCUGUGGCUGGGGGUGAAAGGCCAAUCAAACCGGGAGAUAGCUGGUUCUCCCCGAAAGCUAUUUAGGUAGCGCCUCGUGAAUUCAUCUCCGGGGGUAGAGCACUGUUUCGGCUAGGGGGCCAUCCCGGCUUACCAACCCGAUGCAAACUGCGAAUACCGGAGAAUGUUAUCACGGGAGACACACGGCGGGUGCUAACGUCCGUCGUGAAGAGGGAAACAACCCAGACCGCCAGCUAAGGUCCCAAAGUCAUGGUUAAGUGGGAAACGAUGUGGGAAGGCCCAGACAGCCAGGAUGUUGGCUUAGAAGCAGCCAUCAUUUAAAGAAAGCGUAAUAGCUCACUGGUCGAGUCGGCCUGCGCGGAAGAUGUAACGGGGCUAAACCAUGCACCGAAG
rnacentral:rRNA from 1 species